CUUCGAAACCAUAACUAAAUCCUGGAUACAUAGGACAGAUCGAGACGUAAUGUGGACGCACAGUCGGCAUUCAAACUUCCAAGCGGCAUCAUCAACGGUUAGUGGGUUGAACUGGGUUCCACCGGAAAUGCCAUGGUACUUAUCGAUCCACAGAGUAUUUAAAUAGUGGCGGACGUUUCCACAUACUAGUGGGAAAUGGUAAUGUUUAAAUUUCAAUUGCAAGAAGCUGCAUGCGAUGCACUGACAGUCACGCGCGACAUUCAUGUCGAAAUUACGCUUCCUGGAAAGUUACAAUUGUCGGAGGAUGGACAACCUGAAAUGAUGUUCCGCGAAUGUUGGAAAUUCAAAUCUGAUCUAUGCAGCCGCGGACGAUUCCAUGAUUUUAUGCGCAAACCGGCGCGAUAAACUGGUUGCUCGUACAGAAUGAUAAAGUAACCGAUGAGCAGGCUCCGCCCCAUAACAGCAGCAUUUGGAUGGAGCGGAAAUUUCCGAAACGGCAGCGUGGUGCUUUUAACUGCGCAGCAUCCUGACUUUAGCUCCAUUUCUGGCCAAAGCAAUUUUGAUCUCUUUUUCCAGAUUGUGAACAUUCAACUGUUUGCAUUUCCUCUAAGUCUUCUCGCAGUUUUUUCGUUCCUAACGUAAGCCGCAACCAUGUCUGACCGAACCCAGGAUAAAGUGAAGGAUGUCGCGGAAUCCGCCAAGAAAGAUCUGCAGAAUGCUGGAGCAGCAGCAGGCGAUAAAGCUAAAGAGGGCAUCGAUAAAUUAAAGCAUGCCACGGGUGCAGAAUCCACCACCGAUAAGAUCGUCAACACCCUUAAGGGCAAUUAGCCGGAUUCUGCAGCGAUGUCGGAUCCAUUCCACGCUCGGUAAAUCUCAUCCCGUGCUUCCCGCCUGUCACCGCGGUGGAGUCUGCUGCACAGUGCUCCAUAACGGAAAUUAAUGCCAAAUGUUUUGUACUUGUGUUGUUCGGUAAUCGG